GUUCGGGCACGGCUCGCUGGCUGGAAAGGCCGCCUGCUAUCCACUGUCAGAUGGAGGGUUUUGGUCAGAAGCGUCCUGUCUGCCUUGCCGACGUAUGCGAUCUCCGUUCUCAGGGCGCCAGUCAAGUUUUUGAAAGAUAUAGACAAGGUCCGCCGGCGUUUCCUCUGGGCGGGCGAUGAGGAUCUAACUGAGGGGAAGUGCAAGGUGAAUUGGUCUCGAUUGUGCUCGCCGGUGCAACACGGAGGCUUGGGCAUCCUGAAUCUGCUGAAAUUUAGCCAUGCACUUCAGCUCAGGUGGUUAUGGCUCGCCUGGUAG
rnacentral:rRNA from 1 species